rnacentral:rRNA from 1 species
CGGACGGGUGAGUAACGCGUGAGAAUCUGCCCUCAGGAGGGGGAUAACAGUUGGAAACGACUGCUAAUACCCCAUAUGCCGAGAGGUGAAACGAAUUUCGCCUGGGGAUGAGCUCGCGUCUGAUUAGCUUGUUGGUGGGGUAAAGGCCUACCAAGGCUUCGAUCAGUAGCUGGUCUGAGAGGACGAUCAGCCACACUGGGACUGAGACACGGCCCAGACUCCUACGGGAGGCAGCAGUGGGGAAUUUUCCGCAAUGGGCGAAAGCCUGACGGAGCAACGCCGCGUGAGGGAUGAAGGCCUUUGGGCUGUAAACCUCUUUUCUCAAGGAAGAAGAUCUGACGGUACUUGAGGAAUAAGCCACGGCUAAUUCCGUGCCAGCAGCCGCGGUAAUACGGGAGUGGCGAGCGUUAUCCGGAAUUAUUGGGCGUAAAGCGUCCGCAGGCGGCCGUCUAAGUCUGUUGUUAAAUCGUGGAGCUUAACUCCAUCACGGCAAUGGAAACUGUUCGGCUUGAGUGUGGUAGGGGCAGAGGGAAUUUCCGGUGUAGCGGUGAAAUGCGUAGAUAUCGGGAAGAACACCAGUGGCGAAAGCGCUCUGCUAGGCCAUUACUGACGCUCAUGGACGAAAGCCAGGGGAGCGAAUGGGAUUAGAUACCCCAGUAGUC